rnacentral:rRNA from 1 species
UCUGAUACUGGCAAGCUUGAGUCUCGUAGAGGGGGGUAGAAUUCCAGGUGUAGCGGUGAAAUGCGUAGAGAUCUGGAGGAAUACCGGUGGCGAAGGCGGCCCCCUGGACGAAGACUGACGCUCAGGUGCGAAAGCGUGGGGAGCAAACAGGAUUAGAUACCCUGGUAGUCCACGCCGUAAACGAUGUCGACUUGGAGGUUGUGCCCUUGAGGCGUGGCUUCCGGAGCUAACGCGUUAAGUCGACCGCCUGGGGAGUACGGCC